rnacentral:lncRNA from 1 species
CAUCAUCAAUUCAUCAUAGAUAGAUGUAGAAAAUCAUAAGAGUCACUAAUACAAUCCAAUCCAAACACAAUUUCAUAAACUUUGAAUCAUAAGCAAAAGACCCACUUCAUAAGCAAAUUUAGGAAUUUAGGGAAAACAUGGGUUCAUGGGGAUUUCUUUCUAAAAAUCAUUAAUAAUCAUUAAUAACAAUAUAAAUCAUCAUUUAAAACCUUUCUUAUGCAAGAACCCAUGCUAGAAUCGAAAUUAGGAUUUUAGGAUUUUUGAAGAACUUUGAAAAUACUUUGAAUUGGCUCUUUGAUUGAAAAAGGAAUCAAAGAUAAAUAGUCCCCAUACCUUUGCUAUGAUCUCUCAAGAAAUUUGAUGAAGAAAAACUUGAAUCCAAGCCCUAGCUCCCACUUCUUCUUCUUCUUAAUGGAGGAUUGUAGAGAGGGAAAUGUUUUAGGGAUGGGAAUUGAACUAAUGGUAUCUAGGAAAUAAUAUAUGUCCUUUGGAAGAAUGGUCCAACACUUAGAAAAAAAAUGAGGCGGGUGAACAGUAACCACGCCUACUGGAAAUUGCCUUUUCCUGCCGAACAGAUUUUACGAAAAUGGGCAUAACUUCUUCGUCCGAACUCCGAAUGAGGUGAAACGAAGUGCGUUAGGUAGCUAACUCAAAGGGCUUUCCAUGGAUAUAUUAUUG